rnacentral:misc_RNA from 1 species
CAAAGUCGUGGCCGGCGAACGCCGGCCCUACCACCGGAAAGCGCCGGCCGGGAGAGCUCCGUAUGGGCCCCGGGCGGCGUGGACGGUUAACCCUCUGUGAAAACCCCUCGUUGCUUCGGCAGCGCCCCCGGUCCGCCGGGGGGUUCAGCCUGCCGGCGGCACCUCAGGAAACCCUUCAGCGAAAGGAAGCGUUGACAACGUCUGAGAGCGCAGUCGAAUGACACAUA